rnacentral:rRNA from 1 species
UACGUAGGGACCAAGCGUUGUUCGGAUUUACUGGGCGUAAAGAGCGUGUAGGCGGCCAGGUAGGUCUGCUGUGAAAACUCGAGGCUCAACCUCGAGAUGUCGGCGGAAACCAUCUGGCUAGAGUCCGGAAGAGGAGAGUGGAAUUCCUGGUGUAGCGGUGAAAUGCGCAGAUAUCAGGAAGAACACCCGUGGCGAAGGCGGCUCUCUGGGACGGUACUGACGCUGAGACGCGAAAGCGUGGGGAGCGAACAGG